UGGGGAAUUUUGGACAAUGGGCGAAAGCCUGAUCCAGCAAUGCCGCGUGUGUGAAGAAGGCCUUCGGGUUGUAAAGCACUUUUGUCCGGAAAGAAAUCCUUGGCUCUAAUACAGUCGGGGGAUGACGGUACCGGAAGAAUAAGCACCGGCUAACUACGUGCCAGCAGCCGCGGUAAUACGUAGGGUGCAAGCGUUAAUCGGAAUUACUGGGCGUAAAGCGUGCGCAGGCGGUUUGCUAAGACCGAUGUGAAAUCCCCGGGCUCAACCUGGGAACUGCAUUGGUGACUGGCAGGCUAGAGUAUGGCAGAGGGGGGUAGAAUUCCACGUGUAGCAGUGAAAUGCGUAGAGAUGUGGAGGAAUACCGAUGGCGAAGGCAGCCCCCUGGGCCAAUACUGGCGCUCAUGCACGAAAGCGUGGGGAGCAAACAGGAUUAGAUACCCUGGUAGUCCACGCCCUAAACGACGUCAACUAGUUGUUGGGGAUUCAUUUCCUUAGUAACGUAGCUAACGCGUGAAGUUGACCGCCUGGGGAGUACGGUCGCAAGAUUAAAACUCAAAGGAAUUGACGGGGUCAUAGCUGUUUCCU
rnacentral:rRNA from 1 species